rnacentral:rRNA from 1 species
UACGGAGGAUGCGAGCGUUAUCCGGAUUUAUUGGGUUUAAAGGGUGCGUAGGCGGACGCUUAAGUCAGCGGUAAAAUUGCGGGGCUCAACCUCGUCGAGCCGUUGAAACUGGGUGCCUUGAGUGGGCGAGAAGUACGCGGAAUGCGUGGUGUAGCGGUGAAAUGCAUAGAUAUCACGCAGAACUCCGAUUGCGAAGGCAGCGUACCGGCGCCCAACUGACGCUGAAGCACGAAGGCGUGGGUAUCGCACAGG